AAGGAACUCGGCAAAAUGCCCCCGUAACUUCGGGAGAAGGGGGACCGGAAUAUCGUGAACACCCUUGCGGUGGGAGCGGGAUCCGGUCGCAGAAACCAGUGAGGAGCGACUGUUUACUAAAAACACAGGUCCGUGCGAAGUCGCAAGACGAUGUAUACGGACUGACGCCUGCCCGGUGCUGGAAGGUUAAGAGGACCCGUUAACCCGCAAGGGUGAAGCGGAGAAUUUAAGCCCCAGUAAACGGCGGUGGUAACUAUAACCAUCCUAAGGUAGCGAAAUUCCUUGUCGGGUAAGUUCCGACCUGCACGAAUGGCGUAACGACUUCUCAACUGUCUCAACCAUAGACUCGGCGAAAUUGCACUACGAGUAAAGAUGCUCGUUACGCGCGGCAGGACGAAAAGACCCCGGGACCUUCACUACAACUUGGUAUUGAUGUUCGGUACGGUUUGUGUAGGAUAGGUGGGAGACUGUGAAACCUCGACGCCAGUUGGGGCGGAGUCGUUGUUGAAAUACCACUCUGAUCGUAUUGGGCAUCUAACCUCGAACCCUGAAUCGGGUUUAGGGACAGUGCCUGGCGGGUAGUUUAACUGGGGCGGUUGCCUCCUAAAAUGUAACGGAGGCGCCCAAAGGUUCCCUCAACCUGGACGGCAAUCAGGUGGCGAGUGUAAAUGCACAAGGGAGCUUGACUGCGAGACUUACAAGUCAAGCAGGGACGAAAGUCGGGAUUAGUGAUCCGGCACCCCCGAGUGGAAGGGGUGUCGCUCAACGGAUAAAAGGUACCCCGGGGAUAACAGGCUGAUCUUCCCCAAGAGUCCAUAUCGACGGGAUGGUUUGGCACCUCGAUGUCGGCUCGUCGCAUCCUGGGGCUGGAGCAGGUCCCAAGGGUUGGGCUGUUCGCCCAUUAAAGCGGCACGCGAGCUGGGUUUAGAACGUCGUGAGACAGUUCGGUCUCUAUCCGCCGCGCGCGUCAGAAACUUGAGGAAACCUGUCCCUAGUACGAGAGGACCGGGACGGACGAACCUCUGGUGCACCAGUUGUCCCGCCAGGGGCACCGCUGGAUAGCCACGUUCGGUCAGGAUAACCGCUGAAAGCAUCUAAGCGGGAAACCUUCUCCAAGAUCAGGUUUCUCACCCACUUGGUGGGAUAAGGCCCCCCGCAGAACACGGGUUCAAUAGGUCAGACCUGGAAGCUCAGUAAUGGGUGUAGGGAACUGGUGCUAACCGGCCGAAAACUUACAACA
rnacentral:rRNA from 1 species